rnacentral:rRNA from 1 species
GAGUUUGAUCCUGGCUCAGGAUGAACGCUGGCGGCGUGCCUAAUACAUGCAAGUCGAGCGAACAGAUAAGGAGCUUGCUCCUUUGACGUUAGCGGCGGACGGGUGAGUAACACGUGGGUAACCUACCUAUAAGACUGGAAUAACUCCGGGAAACCGGGGCUAAUGCCGGAUAAUAUUUAGAACCGCAUGGUUCUAAAGUGAAAGAUGGUUUUACUAUCACUUAUAGAUGGACCCGCGCCGUAUUAGCUAGUUGGUGGGGUAAUGGCUUAUCAAGGCAACGAUACGUAGCCGACCUGAGAGGGUGAUCGGCCACACUGGAACUGAGACACGGUCCAGACUCCUACGGGAGGCAGCAGUAGGGAAUCUUCCGCAAUGGGCGAAAGCCUGACGGAGCAACGCCGCGUGAGUGAUGAAGGUCUUCGGAUCGUAAAACUCUGUUAUUAGGGAAGAACAAAUGUGUAAGUAACUGUGCACGUCUUGACGGUACCUAAUCAGAAAGCCACGGCUAAC